CCUACGGGAGGCUGCAGUGGGGAAUAUUGGACAAUGGGCGAAAGCCUGAUCCAGCCAUGCCGCGUGUGUGAAGAAGGCCUUCGGGUUGUAAAGCACUUUCAGUGGGGAAGAAAGCCUUGGGGCUAAUACCCUCGAGGAAGGACAUCACCCACAGAAGAAGCACCGGCUAACUCCGUGCCAGCAGCCGCGGUAAUACGGAGGGUGCGAGCGUUAAUCGGAAUUACUGGGCGUAAAGCGCGCGUAGGCGGUCUGAUAAGCCGGUUGUGAAAGCCCCGGGCUCAACCUGGGAACGGCAUCCGGAACUGUCAGGCUAGAGUGCAGGAGAGGAAGGUAGAAUUCCCGGUGUAGCGGUGAAAUGCGUAGAGAUCGGGAGGAAUACCAGUGGCGAAGGCGGACUUCUGGACUGACACUGACGCUGAGGUGCGAAAGCGUGGGUAGAAAACAGGAUUAGAUACCCUUGUAGUA
rnacentral:rRNA from 1 species